AGCAAAGUCUUUGCCUUCAGUGGAUC
rnacentral:piRNA from 1 species